rfam:Salmo salar isolate Sally breed double haploid chromosome ssa11, whole genome shotgun sequence.
UGCAUUCACUACUGUAAGUCUCUCUGGAUAAGAGCGUCUGCUAAAUUACUAAAA